UUAUGGGCGCGAAAGUCCGGGCUGGGAUCGCGACAAACACCACCCUAUAGCUAGGGGUCCGAAAUUCAUGUUUUUUAGACGCCCUAAAGUAACCUCUGAGGCGUUUUGGGCGAUCCAUUUUUCUUUUUCUUUUUUUAUUUUUCCAAAAGGGGACCCCUAAAUCCGCCCCUGGCCUAGGCUAAUCAUAAUUUUUCCGCUCCUUUUCCCUGCGACGCGCACUGUUUUGUUUAUAAAAAACAAAAUAACGCCCUCUAUAAUUUCUGCCUUAAAUAAUUCCCUGGGGAACAUCCAUCCCAAAUGCAGGUACCAAAAGAAGUUGAUGCUCCUGGUGCAAGCCCUAUGCGCGCUGUGGCUUGCAUUCUUGAUACUGUUUUAUUUCACUUAUCGGUGAACCCUAUGCAAUAAAUCUUUAUAUGUAGAUAGCCAGAAUACUCAACGACUUAGGCCUAAAUGCCUAGCGAGGCCCAGCUGCUGCACAAGGGUGCGCAAAAUCACACACUCACAAGACGAACUUGUGAACAUGACUGCCAUCAUAUUUUGUAGUUGUACCCUGAUUGACUGGAGAACUUUGUCAAGCUUAUAGAAUUUCGACCUAUGUUUACAUUAUCAGGUCUAUGACUCAGCCAGUUUAUCCCUAGCAUCAUAGCUGCAACAUCACCCUCUCUUCACAAAAGUUUGAUUACCCUGCCAAUUUGUCUUAAACUGGAAAAAAACCUUUGCUGAUGCUACUGCCAAGGUAAAGCCUUCAUAAAUUUUGGAUGGGUAUAUAUAUCAAAGGGGAUCUAGACAGGUGGACUUUGCAGAGGUUGGAGCCCAUGAUGAAAAAAUGUGGAAAUUUCUUGCAAGUCAGGCAGUAAGUGCAGAAAUGCAUUGAUGCUGUCUAAUAAGUGAGUAAGUAUUUUUAUAUAUCAUCCACCAAUAAAUGCUCUGGGGGCACUUUCAGUUUCUGACAAAGAUGGCAUUAAUUCGUCCAUCGUCAAUGUGUUUUGAUACUGUUUAUAUAUAUUGUAGGCCUGUUGAGAUGGAAGACUUUCAAAAAUGGUAAAAAAUAAAUUUUUAACCUGGCCAUUGGAGAGAUCCUCUGCUAGUGAUACCAGCGAAAAGUUUGUACAGUUCUCCCUGGCAUACUGAACUACAGAAUAAAAGGAACACAUAUCACAGUAUUGCAUUGACAUGGUAUUUCAAUAUUAUAGAGAGCUUGUUUGCAAAAGGUGCCAAGUCCAUACGUAGGCUUAAUUUAGAGAUAAAUAUAAAUUUGUGAUUCCAUCAGAAAUUACUCUUUGUUGGCUGUUAAUGUUUAUAGUAACCAGAUCAGCUAGGUUUUGAUUAAAAACUGCCUUCUCUUGUCCCCAUCUUCACCUUCCUGAAACAAGAGUAAUAAUACACUAACGUUUUGAGGUUCGACUGCCACUUACCCAGGUCACGGAGGUAUAAUCAGUUUCCAAAGAUAAUAUUCAUGGCAUCAUCAAGAAUAUAUCAUAUCAGAGGGAUCACUUCAAGAGUAAUAUUUAAAAAAAACCUGCUUCGAAAGGUUAAUUCAUUUCACAGUCUUCAAAACUAUUUACAGAUUGUGGUUUGGAUUUGUUCUGAGUAGCUAGGUUCACAUUCAGAAUUUAACGUGAUCUAGUGGAUCAUGAUCAAGCCAGUCAUUUUAUGUGAACCAACCAGAAUCAAAUAACGUGCUCAGCUUAAUCACCUUAUUGUGAUCUAGUGGAACAUGUUG